CGUAGGGUGCGAGCGUUAAUCGGAAUUACUGGGCGUAAAGCGCGCGCAGGCGGUUUUGUAAGACAGAUGUGAAAUCCCCGGGCUCAACCUGGGACCUGCAUUUGUGACUGCAAGGCUAGAGUACGGUAGAGGGGGAUGGAAUUCCGCGUGUAGCAGUGAAAUGCGUAGAUAUGCGGAGGAACACCGAUGGCGAAGGCAAUCCCCUGGACCUGUACUGACGCUCAUGCACGAAAGCGUGGGGAGCAAACAGGAUUAGAUACCCUGGUAGUCCACGCCCUAAACGAUGUCAACUGGUUGUUGGGUCUUUACUGACUCAGUAACGAAGCUAACGCGUGAAGUUGACCGCCUGGGGAGUACGGCCGCAAGGUUG
rnacentral:rRNA from 1 species